GGGGGGGGGGGGGGGCGGGCUGGACAGGUGGGGGUCGAGGGGAGAGGGGCGUGCGUGCGGGGGUGCUGGAGUGGCGAGCGGGUGAGGAGCGCGGGGGUGAUGUGCCCUGCACUUGGGGAUAAGCGGGGGGAACUGGGGCUAAUAACGGAUGGGACCGCGUGUGGGUGGGUGUGGUGGAAAGUUUUUCGGUGUGGGAUGAGCUCGCGGCCUAUCAGCGUGUUGGUGGGGUAAUGGCCUACCAAGGCGUCGACGGGUAGCCGGCCUGAGAGGGUGUACGGCCGCAUUGGGACUGAGAUACGGCCCAGACUCCUACGGGAGGCAGCAGUGGGGAAUAUUGCACAAUGGGCGCAAGCCUGAUGCAGCGACGCCGCGUGGGGGAUGACGGCCUUCGUGUUGUAAACUCCUUUCGCUAGGGACGAAGCGCAAGUGACGUUACCUGGAGAAGAAGCACCGGCUAACUACGUG
rnacentral:rRNA from 1 species